UUAGACUAUUUUGAAAGACAUAACGGAAGAAGGAAAGAGAGAGAAAGAAAGAGGGGCAGGGGACCCCGCUGGCUGUAGAAAGAGGGACAGGCUGGGGACCAGGAACAAGGCUGCAUUGAACUCCUUCAGAUGAGGGAUGAGGUACUUGUUGAAGAUGGAGUACUCGUGCAGCUUGGUACUCAGAUGCUUGUGCACCAGCCACAAGGACGCCAUCUCCUGCUUCAUCCUGGCCAGAUUAUGCACAGAGCAGGACCGGAAAUGCUGAGGACUGGGGUCCCCUGUAGGAUUACCCCAGGAGCUGGGCCAGGCCCUGCAGGGCCCCGACAGUGCAGGCUGGAGCUGGUCUGGAGAAAUCUGGAUGGUUAAAUCCUCCUCUAAGGAUGGACGGAGAGGAAUUGGAUUCUGGUGCCGGUCGUUCAACCAACCCCUGCCUGGCCCUUCAGUACCAGGAUGGAGCGGGGGCUGAGUGGCGGGGAAUAAAACUGUCUGGUUCCCCUUGUA